GACGAACGCUGGCGGCGUGCCUAAUACAUGCAAGUCGAACGCAGUGGGAACGGGUGAGUAACACGUGGGUAACCUCCCAUCAGAGGGGAUAACACUUGGAAACAGGUGCUAAACCGAUACUGAUGGAUGGACCCGCGGUGCAUUAGCUAGUUGGUGAGGUAACGGCUCACCAAGGCCACGAUGCAUAGCCGACCGGAGAGGCUGACCAGCCACACUGGGACUGAGACACGGCCCAGACUCCUACGGGAGGCAGCAGUGGGGAAUUUUGGGCAAUGGAGGAAACCCUGACCCAGCCAUCCCGCGUGUAUGAAGAAGGCUUUCGGGUUGUAAAGUACUUUUGGCAGAGAAGCGGUAUCUGCACAAUAAGCCCCGGCUAACUACGUGCCAGCAGCCGCGGUAAUUC
rnacentral:rRNA from 1 species